GUAUUAAAUAAUAAAUAAAGGACAGACACGUGGUUGGAAAGGAAAAAACCGAGAGGAUGGUGAUAAUAAAUGAAAAAAUAUGUGAAAGUUAGCUCAUUACCCUCAAAAUAGCAGCACGGACGUCUGAGGGAGAAGAGUGUAAGAGAGCACUAAUUAGCUUCCAAUCGUCGCGAAUCUCGUCACCGGCAAACCAACCAUACAAAAUUGAUUUGGGCACACUUAAAAGCCCAUAAAAGAAAAAUGGUUGAGGUUGGCAAGCAUUCCAAAUAGAACCAAAAAAUCAGCGAACUCAUCGCUGCUGGCCGCCACGAACUCGAACAUCAGAGUCUUCAUCUUGCCAAGUAAGGUUCUUCUAUUUUAGUUUGUUGCAUUUACUAUAUGGGUUCAAUUUUAUUUGCAUAAAAAGCUGAAAAUAACAUUCUCUAUCGGGUACACAAUGAUGAUUGGCUUAGCUGCAGACUUUGGCUAUGAAAAAUGCACCUUGCUAGAUGUCACUAAAUUUACGCUUCAAGAGAACUUUUCCCUCUUGACUAGUAUUCAACCUUGCAAGAUGAUUCUUCGUAAUUAUUUAAUUAUUUCAAUCCAAAAUUUUAAAUUAGUUUUUUUGAUGAUUAUAAUUGCCAGAUUUAUGAGACAUUGCAUAUAAUAUUAGAUAUUAUAUGUAAGAAACAUUUAUGUGAUGAAUGUUUAAUUAUGGAUGAUUAUGGACUUGACCAUAUGGAUAUGUUGAAUGGUUGAUUAAUUUCUUGUUGUUUUAUGGGCCUGCGAACCCUUAAUUGUUUUGGAUCUGCGAGUCCGUUAUUAUUAAUGUUUGUUAUGGGCCUGCGAGCUCUUUAUUAUAUUGGACUUGCGAGUCCGUUGUUAUUGUUAUUAUUAUGGGUUUGGGAGUCCGAUUUCUUUUAGGUUUGCGUGCCAAUUAGUAUAGGAUACAUGUUACAACUUGACUAAUUGAAGGCACAAAAAAAUGUGGAAACCAUGAAGAUGGUGUAUUGAUGUUAAUCCAAUGUUGUACCCCUUAGGAAUUGACCAAUCGAUUUUCCCUUUGGCUUGAGAAAACUAGAUAGAACAAGUUCAUAAUCAUCCAUACUAUUAUUUAUAUAUAUUUAUUCGCAUAGUUGAUGUAUGUUUAUAUAUAUAUAUAUAUAUAUUUGAUGAGACCAUUGCAUGUUAAAUCUCUCGUUAAAAUAUUAAGUUAGUAUUAUUUGUCUUCCAUCAUUAUAGUGAAAAACGAGAAUCCUAAAUCGACCUCAAUUUGUUGAGUACACUCAAGACUGGUCUAUUAGGGAUAUGUUUUGACACUAUGAAAUAUUUGAUAUUUGUGAAUGAUGGGUUUGAUUUAACUAAAAUUUAUCUUUUGUUGAGUACACUCAAGGAGAUAAGUUUUAAAGGCAUGUUAAGCUAAUACAUAAGAUGUGUGAAGAUAAAAGAGUUAUCAGCUUAAUGAUCUGAGAGUUGUAUGGAGAUACAAUUGAUAAUAAUAUCUACCCAAAUAUUUUAUUAAGAUUUGUUGAGUACACUCAAGAUCUUGAUACCACGAAUGGGAUCCCAGCCCACUGGGAAUCAAAUAUGGAUUCAAAUAAUUUAUGUAUGAUGGUCAUGAAUUUAUUUUAAACAGUGGGAGCACGUUUAAUUAAAGUCCAUAUUGAAUUUGUGCAUAUGCAUUAUAAUAUAUAUUAAUUCUAUAUUUUUUGUUAUUUACAGUUUUUUGAAUCAUGAGUAAUCAUAUGAAUUUGAGAGGCAUAUUGGAUGCCAACAAACUGAUCGGACCAAAUUUUCUCGAUUGGCACCGCAAUUUGAGAAUCGUUCUCAAGCAUGAGAAAAUUGGAUAUGUCCUUGAGCAGCUCUUUCCAGAGGUGCCUACUGAAAAUUCCAUUCAGGAAGAGGUGACUGCUUACAACAAACACAGUGAUGACGAUAACACUGCAGCAUGUGUGAUGCUUGCAGCUAUGUCACCUGAGUUGCAGAAGCAACAUGAAGGUAUGGAUGCUUACACUAUAAUUUUUCAUUUCAAGGAGUUGUAAGAACAAUCUCGUGUGGAGAGGUAUGAGACCUCUAAACAACUAUACCGGUGCAAAAUGGCAGAGGGAUCUUCAGUCAGUGCUGAUGUAUUGAAGAUGAUUAGUUUCAUUAAGAAACUUGGUUCAUUGGGUUUUAUCAUGGAUCAUGAACUAAGUAUUGACUUGGUUCUGCAAUCUUUGCCAGAUAGUUAUUCACAAUUCAUUAUGAACUUCAAUAUGAAUAAGAUCGAAUGCACACUCCCUGAGUUGCUUAAUAUGUUUAAAACUGUGGAGCCCAAUGUCAAGGCUAGCACUGGGCAUGUCUUAGCCAUUCAUUCCUCCAAAGGCACUAAGAGGAAAAUCAAAGGAAGUUUUAAGAAAACAUCCAAAAUGGUUAAGGGCAAUAACAAAGCAGUUAAAGUAGGCAAGGACAAUACCAAAUCUGAUGACCCAUGCUAUCACUGUGGAGUGAAGGGUCAUUGGAAGAGGAACUGCAAGACUUACCUCGCUAGCUUAAAGGGAAAGAAGUCUUCUGAAACUUCUACUGUUGAAUAUUUGUUCAAAAUCAAUGGAAUGAUAAUGGACUAAUUGUUGGACUCAAUUGUGAAAUUGGUAGAACCAAAAGAAAUUGAAAAAUGAAAAUUUUGAUUUUUGCCUAUGCGUAUGCAUAGACUUAUUUUUGUGCGUACAAGAGAUGUGCUUUGGCAAAAUUAGAAUUGAUUUUGCUUCUACUAUGCGUACGCACGAUUUAUACUAUGCGUACGCAAAGUGUUAAAAAAUAGCCGUUGGCUGAUUUUUCAAUUUAAAACUUGGGAGCCGUUUUGAAUUAAAAGUUGUCACUUUUCAUCUUGUUUUGGCACCAUUUCGUGAAGCUUUGAUUCAUGGCUAUAAAUAUGUGUUUGUUGGACAUAAAAAAAACACAUGAAAAUCAGAUUACAAAACAUAUGGUAAUCUGUCAUUAUUCCACAAAAACAAAAAAAUCAUUUCUUCCUCCACAUUCAUAUAUUCCCUAUAUGUUCUUCAAGUUCGGGUAGAGAAAUGCUUGUGCUUUUAUGUUUCUCUACAUCAAGGUUUGAUCAAUCCUUCAAACCGUUUGCCGCAAGAUCUUUUAAGCACCAACAUUAAUACCAAGAGGAGGCAAAUAUCGUUUGAGGACAACGAUGUAACGUCGUGUUUGAGUUCUUCCAUUUUUGUCAUGAUCUUGAUUCGUUUUUUCAUCCUCUUGAUUAAUUUUCUGCAUUGUUUCUUAUUCAACCCCCGUGGUGAAUAAUUUCCCAACAAUCUCAAAUGAUAUUUGGCAAUGGAGAACGAGAUCAUUAUGGAGAGUUCAAGUUGAUGAUAUGCAGAUCGUUGUUGGAACAUUUGAUGAGACGAAUUUUAUAUGAAGGCAAGUAUGAAUUUGAAGAUCCUCCAUAUUCUAAAUUCAGAUUUGGCGACGCUACUGGAGUCACGCUUCUUUGGCAAGACAAAUCUCGAAAGGUUUGAAAGAAAUAAAUUUUCAUUAAAGAAUGAAAGGACUGAAUCUGUCAUCGCGCGUUCGACUACGGUAACUUUCAUUUGUUUUCUUAAUUCCAUAUUGGUAUGCCAAAACUUUUGAUUUGCUUGCGUAAGAGCAAAAGAAAAUUGCACAACAAUUGGCACGCGUAUUCAUGAUUGCGUAAGAUUGAAUUUCUAGAAAUGAGAAUUAUUAUGUUCAGCCCAUAUGCUUGGAAAUUAUGCAAGCACAUAUGCUUGGAAAUUAUGCAAGCACAUAAAUCUAUAAUCUCAUUAACGGUUUACAAUUAACUAAACAUACAUUGAAAAGAUGUGUCUUUCAAAAUCAAACGGUUUCUUAAAAUCUGAAAUGGUAUGAACCUGUUGGAGAAUUAUCUGACCUAGCAGUAUAUACAUUUUCUUUUGGUCUAAUAUGCCCUCUGAAUUUGUCUGAAUAACUCAUGUUGCCUUUGGAAGAAACUGCAUGUAAGUUUAUAUGAAUUGGUACAAUUUAAUAGGUGGCAGAAAAUGAUACUGCUGUUGGCAGUUUGUGAAUUAAUGGAUUAAAUAGUGUCUGCAAAAUAAAAUGAAGAUGGCUGAUUUAUGCAUGCCCUUUUUGGUAUUCAUGUCCAUUGAAUUCUGGGAAAAGUCAGCAAAUUAAUGGAUGUCAUCAUUUCAUAUAUGAUACAAUUGCAUGUGAAUUUUCAUUUUUGAUGUUGUCAGCACGUUAUGCAUGUCUCCAUUUAAAACGGUUUGGCCGGUGACUGAUGAAAAUUUUGUUUAUUCAUAUUACACUUCAUUGGCAAAUUGUAUAUUUAUACAAUUCCCUACACGAUUGGAAUAAACUUGUGCACAUGUGAUAGAUUACUUGCAUGUCGAAGACAGGUUGAUGCAUUAAGUGCAAUAUGGGAACGGUUGAGGCCAUUGCUUAUUUGGGUGCAAACCUGAAACACUUGGUUGCCAGUUCCUUUGGGAAUGAAAGUCAUUAGAGAAUGGAAUUGUACCUUAUCCAUUAAGUGGUAUGUGUUACGCCCCUAUCUGAACCGUUUCGGAAUGCCAACCACCACACAUUCCGACCUGAUGUCUCCGAAGUGUUUCUGAAAUGAUCUCACCAAUGUCAACGACCUGGUAGCACACUGCGAGACGUAGGCGAUCCUGCUGAACUGACCGAAGCGCCCUCGCCCCUUAGGUCGA
rnacentral:lncRNA from 1 species